rnacentral:rRNA from 1 species
CCCUUAGACACUCUAGGCGGCACGCGCGCUACAAUGGGUGGAAGAACGUGUUACUGCCUCCGAAAGGAGGGGUGAAUCACGAAUUCUUGCCCGUGAAUGGGAUAGUUUGUUGCAAUUUUCGGACUUGAACUAGGAAUCCCUUGUAAACAUGCUCAAGAAUAGCGUGUUGAAUACGUCCCUGCCGUUUGUACACACCGCCCGUCGUUUCUUCCGACUGAUACUCAUUGUGAGUUGCAAGGACCCUUUAUUGAGAAAUUGCUGCAAAUGCUUUGUAUUGGAGGAAGAAAAAGUCGUAACA